UACGUAGGGGGCUAGCGUUGUCCGGAAUCAUUGGGCGUAAAGAGCGUGUAGGCGGUUCGGUAAGUCUGCUGUGAAAGUCCAGGGCUCAACCCUGGAAUGCCAGUGGAAACUGCCGAGCUAGAGUCCGGAAGAGGCGAGUGGAAUUCCUGGUGUAGCGGUGAAAUGCGCAGAUAUCAGGAGGAACACCAAUGGCGAAAGCAGCUCGCUGGGACGGUACUGACGCUGAGACGCGAAAGCGUGGGGAGCAAACAGG
rnacentral:rRNA from 1 species